rnacentral:tRNA from 1 species
AAGGAUUUAGCUUAAUAAAAGUGGUUGAUUUGCAUUCAAUUGAUGUAGGAUGAGGUCCUGCAAUCCUUA